UACGGAGGAUCCGAGCGUUAUCCGGAUUUAUUGGGUUUAAAGGGUACGCAGGCGGGAUGUUAAGUCGGCGGUGAAAUUUUGCAGCUCAACUGUAAAAGUGCCUUCGAUACUGGCUUUCUUGAGUGUGGAUGAAGUAGGCGGAAUUUGUGGUGUAGCGGUGAAAUGCUUAGAUAUCACGAGGAACUCCGAUUGCGCGGGCAGCUUACUAAACUACUACUGACGCUCAGGCACGAAGGCGUGGGGAUCAAACAGGAUUAGAUACCCGCGUAGU
rnacentral:rRNA from 1 species